rnacentral:rRNA from 1 species
GACGAAGGGGGCUAGCGUUGUUCGGAAUUACUGGGCGUAAAGAGCGCGUAGGCGGCCAGAUAAGUCCGGUGUGAAAGUCACAGGCUCAACCUGUGAAUGCCGCUGGAAACUGUCUGGCUAGAGUCCGGGAGGGGCGAGUGGAAUUCCUGGUGUAGCGGUGAAAUGCGUAGAUAUCUGGAGGAACACCGGUGGCGAAGGCGGCAUCCUGGACUGGCAUUGACGCUGGAGGCGCGAAAGGCUAGGGGAGCAAACGGG